rnacentral:rRNA from 1 species
GAUGAACGCUGGCGGCGUGCUUAACACAUGCAAGUCGAACGGAAAGGCUCCUGCUUGCAGGGGUACUCGAGUGGCGAACGGGUGAGUAACACGUGGGUGAUCUGCCCAGCACUUCGGGAUAAGCCUGGGAAACUGGGUCUAAUACCGGAUAGGACGAUGGUUUGGAUGCCAUUGUGGAAAGGUUUUUCGGUGUGGGAUGAGCUCGCGGCCUAUCAGCUUGUUGGUGGGGUAAUGGCCUACCAAGGCGUCGACGGGUAGCCGGCCUGAGAGGGUGUACGGCCACAUUGGGACUGAGCUACGGCCCAGACUCCUACGGGAGGCAGCAGUGGGGAAUAUUGCACAAUGGGCGCAAGCCUGAUGCAGCGACGCCGCGUGGGGGAUGACGGCCUUCGGGUUGUAAACUCCUUUCGCUAGGGACGAAGCGCAAGUGACGGUACCUGGAGAAGAAGCACCGGCUAACUACGUG